UUGAUACAUGGGGUCCCUAUGCCACUCCUAUUCAUAAUGGUUGUAGAUACUUUCUCACAAUUGUUGAUGAUUUUACCAGAGCAACUUGGACCCACCUUAUGGGAUCCAAGAGCAAUGCCUUUCCUCUUAUCAAAGCCUUCAUUGCCAUGAUUAAAACUCAAUUUCAGUCUAUGGUACAAACCAUUAGGAGUGAUAAUGCCUUUGAACUUGGCUCUAGUAGCUGUGGCAGCAAUUUCUUUGCUGAAAAUGGUAUACUGCAUCAAACUUCCUGCUCUCACACACCACAACAAAAUGGUGUAGUUGAGAGAAAGCAUAGAUAUCUGCUAGAAACCUCCAGGGCUUUACUCUUCCAUUCACAGCUCCCUAUUAGAUUCUGGGGUGACUGUGUACUUACUGCAACCUACUUAGAAACCUCCAGGGCUUUACUUUUCCAUUCCCAGCUCCCUAUUAGAUUCUGGGGUGACUGUGUACUUAGUGCAACCUACCUCAUUAACAGGUUUCCUUCCAAAAUUCUUCACAAUAAGUCCUCUUUUGAGUUGCUAUUUGGACAGAUUCCAUCCUAUAACCAUCUUAAAACUUUUGGUUGCCUCUGUUUUGCCUCAGUCCCUAAAUAGAAUAGGGACAAUUCCAACCUAGAGCUGAUCCCUGUGUUUUUCUGGGCUAUCCUUUGGGUAAAAAGGAUUACAAACUGUAUAACUUGAAGUCUAAAAUUACUCUAAUCUCCAGGGAUGUCAUUUUUCAUGAAGAUGUCUUUCCUUUUGCCUCUACAGGGAACUCUUUCCAUGGUUCCUUUCCUCCUCCUACUCCUUCUUCUGCCUGUAUUCCUCCUGUUGAUGACUUCUUACCCAAUCCUCCCUUAUCUCUCACCCAGCAACCUCUUGCUUCAGCUUCCCCUUGCUCUUCCCCUUCACACAAUCUUUCAGUGCCUACCUUAUCUGUUCCAGAAGAUCCACUAGGACACAUGUUCUUCCUGCUCACCUGCAGCAGUAUGUUUGCAAUCUUCCCCCUUCUAUCUCUGGCCCCAUUUCUUCUUCCACUUGUCUUCAUAGUUUAGUUAGCAUUACAGAGACUGAAACUUCCUCCUAUAAGCAGGCAGCCUCCAUUCCUGCUUGGCAGGAGGCAAUGGCCAAGGAAUUUGCAGCCUUGGAGGCCAAUCAUACCUGGUCUCUGGUUCCCCUUCCCCCUGACAAGAAACUUAUUGGUUGCAAGUGGGUUUAUAAGAUAAAAUAUAGGGCUGAUGGAUCUAUGGAGAGGCAUAAGGCCAGGCUGGUUGUUAGGGUUGACACCCAGAUUGAGGGGGUAGACUUUACUGAGACAUUCUCUCCUGUUGUCAAAUUUUCAACUAUUAAAUCCCU
rnacentral:lncRNA from 1 species